rnacentral:rRNA from 1 species
GAUGAACGCUGGCGGCGUGCCUAAUACAUGCAAGUCGAGCGGACAGAUAAGGAGCUUGCUCCUUUGAAGUUAGCGGCGGACGGGUGAGUAACACGUGGGUAACCUACCUAUAAGACUGGGAUAACUUCGGGAAACCGGAGCUAAUACCGGAUAACAUUUAGAACCGCAUGGUUCUAAAGUGAAAGAUGGUUUUGCUAUCACUUAUAGAUGGACCCGCGCCGUAUUAGCUAGUUGGUAAGGUAACGGCUUACCAAGGCGACGAUACGUAGCCGACCUGAGAGGGUGAUCGGCCACACUGGAACUGAGACACGGUCCAGACUCCUACGGGAGGCAGCAGUAGGGAAUCUUCCGCAAUGGGCGAAAGCCUGACGGAGCAACGCCGCGUGAGUGAUGAAGGGUUUCGGCUCGUAAAACUCUGUUAUUAGGGAAGAACAAAUGUGUAAGUAACUGUGCACAUCUUGACGGUACCUAAUCAGAAAGCCACGGCUAACUACGUG